ensembl:lncRNA
GAGUACGAAAAACAGCUCUGCUCCAAUCCAAGAGGUGGACAUAGAAAGGAAGACCCUGGAAAACAUGGGAAACUGAGUGUAAAUAGAGAGAUAAGACAGUGCUUAGGGAGAAGACUGAUGUUAUAAAUGCCAAGGGUCAUAUUUCUUGUUGAAACAAAUAAAUGAAGUCUUGCUGAAUGCUGGCGAACCUCACUGGGGCUAUGCCAAGGAAGACCGAGUCCUCUGAUAUAUGGAGAGCCAAUCCAGGGCACGGCAACAUAACAUCUCCAAGGCAAAAUGCAGCAGCAAGAUCUUCAGCCCUUGAGGAGUGCUCAUCUCCUCUCUGUGAAAUCCUCCUCAGAUUCAGCAGGUCAUCACACUUCCUUCAGCUGCCCUGUCUCAAGGCUAUCUUCCCCAAAGGCAUCCAGUCAUCGUGCAGAAACGGAGACCAAGAGCAGAGUUUGCUGCAGUCAUUAAUCACUUCUGUUGCUUUGGGGUAUGGCUGAAAUAUGUCAAAAAGAAACAUGGGAAGCAAGUACCAACCUCCCACCAGUUGCAGAAAAGUGAGAGCUGGACUUCAGCAUAGUUGAAUGGAAAGUGAAGUAAAUGGGCAAAAUCUCCCACACUAUAUCUAAUCCAAUUUUCUCAGAGAUGAGCUCAGAACAAAAUGGUGUUGUGGGGAAAUAUAGGUUGGUGUUGUUGAUAAAAACAUCAGUUUAACACUUAGAAAUACUCCUGUACCCACCCAGGAGAAAAGAUAAAGGCUUAAACCUUGCCCAUCCUUGUGACACUACAUAAAACCACAGUUUUGAAUCAUUCUGGCUCCCUUUCCUGUCCCAAAGUGGAUAUGUGGUGAUAAGAAUGGGAAUAGAAGAGGCCAAAGAGGAGACAUAGCAAAGCUGCAAAGUCGAGGAAUCAUAGAAUCAUUAAGGCUGGAAAAGACCUCUAAAAUCAUCAGGUCCAGCCCCAACCCACCCUCACCAUGUCCACUGACCACGUCCCUCAGUGCCACAUCUCCAUGGUUCUUGAGCACCUCCAGGGAUGGUGACUUCACCACUUCUCUGGGUGAUGUUCAAAUGGGACUUUCAAAAUUAGUUGAGACUUCUACUGUGCAUUCAUUGUCACGAGACACAGAGUGUUUGGAUUCUCUGUCUGGAAAGAAGUUGGAAAUGAACAAUUUCAAAUGUCUUCCCACAGAGAAACCUGGAUCCACUGGGCUCCUUGGGUGCAUUCAGGCCACGUGAAUAACUGAA